AUGGCUGUCGUCAGCUCGUGUCGUGAGAUGUUGGGUUAAGUCCCGCAACGAGCGCAACCCUGCAUUCAGUUGCCAUCGGUAAGGCCGGGCACUCUGGAUGGACUGCCGGCGACAAGCCGGAGGAAGGUGGGGACGACGUCAAGUCAUCAUGGCCCUUAUGUCCAGGGCGACACACGUGCUACAAUGGCCGGCACAACGGGAAGCGAGUUCGCGAGGACGAGCGGAUCCCUUAAAGCCGGUCGCAGUUCGGAUUGAAGUCUGCAACUCGACUUCAUGAAGCUGGAAUCGCUAGUAAUCGCAGAUCAGCCAAGCUGCGGUGAAUACGUUCCCGGGCCUC
rnacentral:rRNA from 1 species